UUUAUAUUUAAGUGGAUUGGAGUGUGGGUCAAUGUAUACUUUUGGUUUCAUGUUUAUGGAGAGGGAAUUCAUAGUAGUAUGUGAUGAUGCAAUAUAAAGGUUUAAUUGGCCUUUGUUUGCUAUGGCUACUUUACUCUUGAGUGAAAACAUAAGAGUAUAAUGCAGAUCAUCACAACAAAGGGCCAAUAAACCAUCACACACCCUUUUUUGUAUAUGCCAGAAAAGCUAUUUGAGAGUCUUUAGAGGUUUUAAAAGGCUUAUUGCUGCUAUCUUUUAGCUUUUAGCCUGUAAAGCCAGAGAGGCUGGGUUCUUUAGUAUCAAAAGUCUGUGCAAAGGAUGAGAACUUCCAAAGCAUCUGAAAAUUAUCUAAAGCCCUAAUCCUUCAAACAUUUAGGGGCAAAGUAUGCUCACACUCCUUGUGCUCGCCUGGAUUCAGGGACUGCUCACUUCUUACAUCCUCUGAAGUAUGAACUACCCCAGCUGGACACACACAUCCAGGCUGCCCAGCAUAGCUGGUGCUGUGGAAUGGGAGGAAGCAGGUACCUGACCUAACCCAAGGGUGGUGCAACAAACAUUAUCCUCCUUGGACUACUGGAGAUAACAUGACAACUUAAGGAACAAUGCUACCCAGCUUUCCUGCUCUACUAGUGAGUCUCCCCAUCUCUCCCUUCCAUGGAUUUCAUAUGCACCAAUUAGUUUUCAUGUGUCUUUAAUUGUGCAUGAAUAGAAGGUCUUGCUUUCUGUAUUUUAUCAUUCUAAACAAUGAAACAAAAAUAAACCUGGCUAAAUAUUAUUUUGCCUUUAAUGACUUGCAAGUUGCUUUAAAUGGAUAUGAAUAAAUUGGUGGUUUGUGACCCCAUUUUUCCUCUGUGAUUGCUGAUUAUAUCAUGCACAGAAAAUAAAGGCAGGAAUCUGAAUUGGGACUGCAUUCUAUAAGGAAACAACGUGGUCUAGUGGAUUGGUCAUCAGGAGACCUAAGUAUUACUAGAUCUGCCUAUGACCAGUGGUAUAACUUUGGGCUAGUAACUUUAAUCUCUUUGUGCCUCAAUUUCUCCAUCCAUAAAGUGAGGAUGAUAGUAGUCACUUUCUUUGGCAAAUCUGGGCCUAUACAAUUAAAUUUCAUGUCUGGGCCACUGAAGCUAAGUAUGAACUUCUGUGUUCUCUGUGAGUAUGUUUGUCUCUACAUCUGCAGCUGUUCUUGAGGAAAUGUGAUGUUGGCCAAGUUAAUUACCCAGUUGCCCAUAAUUGGGGAUUUCAUACCCUUCCAAUGUUCAUGUUUCUUUUUCCUUAGAAAUUUACUUGUGCUAUACUUGCCUUUGAUUUCAAAUGUUUGAGGUUUAUUUUCUUUUUCAACUUUAAGAUUUUGCCCCCUUAAAUUACAGUUGUACUCUGCAAAAAUUAUUCUAGAAAUAGCAUUGUGGGGAUUCCGUGCUUCCUGAGUAAGAAGGAUCUCUUUAUAUACCUGUCAUCCUGUUUCAGAGUUGAACUGUACUUAG